UACGAAGGGGGCUAGCGUUGCUCGGAAUUACUGGGCGUAAAGCGCACGUAGGCGGAUUGUUAAGUCGGGGGUGAAAUCCUGGAGCUCAACUCCAGAACUGCCUUCGAUACUGGAGAGCUCGAGUCCGGGAGAGGUGAGUGGAACUGCGAGUGUAGAGGUGAAAUUCGUAGAUAUUCGCAAGAACACCAGUGGCGAAGGCGGCUCACUGGCCCGGUACUGACGCUGAGGUGCGAAAGCGUGGGGAGCAAACAGG
rnacentral:rRNA from 1 species